UUUGUAGAUUAUUGCUGCUGCUGCUGCAAGCAAGUACAGGAACUUGCUGCUGCCAAUACAUAAGUCGAUAUGGUGCUAAGACCCGCGAGUGGAAACCCUUAGAGCAGAGGACGUGCACAGAUAUCCCAUGGCUGCUCCUGUUCAUCCUCUUCAAUGUCGGCAUGCUCUGCAUCUGUGGCUUCGCCAUAGCGACAGGGGCCGCCUCCAGACUCAUAUCAGGGUACGACAGCUACGGGAACACCUGCGGUCAGAAGAACGCCAAAAUCCCAGGAAUAGAGCUCAGCGGCCGCGACCACACCUCCAGAAAGUGUGUGAGAACGAGCGGAAACACAGCUGCCUCC